UCCCCCAGGAGCUUCUGGGGGAGUCAGAGAGGCUCUUGAAUGUCAGACAUUCCAUUCCUCUGAGUUGGCCUCUGCUGGAGGGAAAGAUGCAAGGAAGCACACUGGCCUUCUUAAGUGUGGCACAGAUCAGGUCUGGAUACCAGCUCUGUGUGUUCUCCAGUCAGUCACUUAACCUCUCUGAGCAGGAGUUUCCUAAUCUGCAAAAUGGAGGUCACAGUAAUGCUGGGGGUUGGGAAAUUUGGCAAGAUUCAAAGUCAGAGAUGCAACAGGUGCUGUAAACGUUCUUUCCUUUCCUUUCCAAGUUGUGGUCUCAGUCAACCUUUGUUUAGGGACGGAAACCGAUACUUAGGGUGCUGACAGCACCAGCCCUCUGUAGGCUGAGCAGGUAGGAGACAAUUCUCUUUCAGAAAGUCUCCCUAGAUAGUUGGCACAAGUCUCCACAUUUCCUUCAUUAACAUGAGCAUUAGAGAGCACUUUCUCUGUGUUAGGCAGGCCCUUGCUCCUCUGUGAUUUUUUUUUUUUAAUGCAAAUCUGCCCCUUUGAGUCCCCAGUACCUGAAGAUAUCACAAUAUAACAGAAAGGCUUUCGGCAUUCCAGACUUGAAAAGGAAAGUGAAAAGGAAACGUUCCGAGCAUAGCGGCUGAUAUUCCUCUGGGAAAGGCGCAGCACAGGCUGACCGCCCAGUUCCUCACUGGUGCUCUCUUGUACAUUCUGGUUUCUUUCAGGGAACCAGAUCCCACAUGCUGCAAUUUAAAAUUCCAGAUGCCGCAACUAAGACCCAUCGCAGCCAAAUAAAUAAAUAUUACAAGAAAAUCAUCAAUGCCUUGAAAGAACAAAGAAAGACCGAGGAACACUUCCAGAUUAAAAGAGGCUGAGCGAUAUGAACUGAAUGCCACGUGGGGUCCAGGGUUUCCUUGUGUUAUAAAGGACACUGCUGGGACAAAUGGCAAGAUCCAUGUAAAACAGACAAGAAUGCUGUUUUGGUGUUCAUUCCCUGAUUUUGGUAAUCAUAUUGGAAGAUAUCAUAUUGUAAGAGAAUGUCAUCUGCUUUUAGGCAAUACACGCUAAAGUAUUCAGAGGUAAAAGCAGUAUUAUGUCUGCAGCUUACUGUGAAACAGUUCUAAAAAAAAAAUCUUCCUCUUCUAUGUAUAUCUAUCUAGAGAGAAAUGGAAAAGAAUAUGGCAAAUGUGAUAAAGUGUUUACAUUUGGGGAAUCCAGGUGAAGGGUGUGUGGGAAUUCUUUGUAC
ensembl:lncRNA